CCCUUAGAUGUUCUGGGCUGCACGCGUGCUACACUGAUAUUGCCAAUAUGUCAUUCUUAUCCGAAAUGGAUUGGGUAAUCAAGUAAUGAAAUUUCAUGCUUGGAAUCGGUAAUUGCAAUUUUAUCGUGAACGAGGAAUUCCUAGUAAGCGCGAGUCAUCAGCUCGUGCUGAUUACGUCCCUGCCCUUUGUACACACCGCCCGUCGCUCCUACCGAUUGAGUGAUUCGGUGAAUAAUUCGGACUGCAGCAUUGCUUGGAUUCCGAGCUUUGCAGCGGAAAGUUUAGUGAACCUCAUCACUUAGAGGAAGGAGAAGUCGUAACA
rnacentral:rRNA from 1 species